GGCCUGUUACUUACCAGAAAUGGUUGGUUGAGACUUUAAGAAAAGUGAGAUGAGCGGUGCAGCCAGUGAGAGACGGGGAGAGUGCGCCAAGGACUGUUCCGAGAGGCAUGGCGCGGGAUUCUGACAGCAGCGACAGCAGCUACAGCAGGUAUCAGCCGGCCAGCGGCAGACAGGAAAAUUUUGAGGAGUCAAAGAAAGUCAUGAGAAGGGAAAAGAAUCGUCUCGCAGCUCAGAAGAGUCGACAAAGACAGACUUUAAAAGCAGACACACUACAUCAGGAAAGUGAACAUUUAGAGAAAGAAAAUGCAGCUCUACGGAAGGAGAUAAAGCAGCUCAACGAGGAGCUGAAAUAUUUCAGCGCUGUUCUGAGAAACCAUGAGAGUCUUUGCUCUGUAAUGACUUCCUCAAAUGAGGAGAUGGUUUAUCCAAAUCAUUCCUUCCACCAGACUCUCAGCAACUCUCCAGCACGGCUCCACUUGUGAGACAGCAUUGCAGAAAGAGACACUGAAAUUGAGACUGCACAGGAUGGAGUGUGACAACACAGACUGGCCAUGGGGACAGUGAGAGUGAAGAAACUCACCUCGCAGUGUCAGCUAUUCCCUAAAGGAGCAGGCAAACUCCUCGCAUACCUGUCAUCUCUCUGCCCUUAACCCUGCAUCAGCCAUACCGAGUUCUCACUGUCCCACUGACUUGUUAAACUUCAUCUGACAUAGUUUAUUAUAAAUACUAAAGUCUUAAAGAUGGAGCAGCAACUCCAACAAUAAACACCAGGCUCAGACACACCGUCACCAGUAUAACAUCAAAUACAGAAUGAGUUUGAAUUUGUCACUGAGCUACAACAGCAGCAACCCAUUCACAGCAAUGACAAGAGACAAACGAACAUCGCCCAAGCCUGCUCGUGUCUUAACUGAGACUUACACUGACAUGCGGACACAGAUACAAACAAGUGGGGAUGAGCCCCUCUCUGACCCUUCAGGUGAAGUGAAGGGUCAUAUUGCUGCUGGUGCUCCUGACUGAGAUCAGUGAUGUCGGCCCAGACCGAGGGUGAAUCUUCCACCUUCCUGAAUGAAUUACUGGGGAGACUCUGCCAGGUGAUUGGGAAAAACAACACGCUUUUUGGACUGUUGCUAAUGAUCUACCUGAACAAAAUGAAGCAGAGAAGUAAAUGGUGUACUGAAGACUGUAGAAUGAGAAUCAGAUCAGGGUAAUUACUGACAAUGUACACAUUAAUCAUCAAUACUAUAAAGAGAACAGUCCAAAUGAAAAAGAAACAUUUACAUUAAAAUAGCGCCUUUCACAAUCUGAGUACUUCCCAACGUGCAUUAUCAGCAAUGAGGUACAGAGUGAGCAGGGUAGUUCCUCAGUCAUAAAAACGUAUGAAGAAAGGAUUUGCUCAUUUGUGAGUUUAAAAAGAGACCCCAACUCAGUGUUGUCCAUGGAAGCCCUACUUUAGAAGCCAAUUAAUUCUUCAUCUCUCAAUGUUGAUCUGAAAACUCCAAGAGCUUCUUCUAUGGUAACAUUUUUGUCAGAUUUUGGAAGCUGCAUUAGAAUAUAAACGAGCUGACUCUUGUUCUGCUGUCGAUCUGACUUUAGGUGUGUUAAACAUCUCAGUUAAUCGAUAGUUAGUGCAAAUCACUUUGAGACACGACCUUGUUUUAUUUAAUAACACCCACAAUUCCUUAAGUGGGGCUAAGGUCUAGAUUUUUUACAAUCUGUUCGACUUGUGCAACGUGAUGAUUAAACAUCUACUGACUCCAGCUAGACCCUAGGUUAAAAUACAUAACUAAAAUAAAAGUCCAUUGUCCCAAUCUGCCCACUGUGCACUCUCCAUGGCUGAGUGUCCAACUAGAUUUGCAGUUACAGUCUGUCGUUUCUCCUUUGUGCCUUGGUUCAGUUGGAUCCUGGUAGAAUUGGACAUCAAUUCACAGAAUGUUCCAAUUGAUGGAGCUAAUGGUGAAGAGGAGGGUGUGAUGUUAAGAGAAUGUCUCAGUAAAUGAGAGCACUGGUGUAGAAAACUUCUGCAAAUGGAAGGUGGCACUUUGAAAAGACUCUUACUCUCAUCUUUUUCCUGUGCAGUGAUUUUCAAUAAGUUUUAAACAUGUGAUUCACAGAAACAUUGACAAAUUAGUUAAAAUGAGCACUCAUGGGAUAGAGCGGAUCUGUCUACCUUUCAGAAUAACCAAGCUCGCUCCCCAGUUAAACUUUGACUAUGACAUUUUUACUACUUUUUUCAUUCCUGUUAAAGAAACUUAUGACAGAAAAGCUUUUGGAAUUUGGAAUCUUAAAUUAAUGAAAACAAUCUUUGAAAUUAUUUUUUUGGGAAACUGAGGUUAAAAGGAACCAGUCUGUAUAUGUCAGUGUAAUUCUGCCUUUAAAUUUCCAACUGCUUGUUGGACAUUCCAAACUGGAGGACAAACAAUUUCCUCUAACUAAAAAUUUGGAACACCAAAGUCAUUAUCUUCAGUCCUUGCCACAACCAUUGUUCCAUCAGCAUUGUUAUAACACAUCUGUUAGUAAAGGCUGAGUUAUUUAAAAUCCCAGAGGAAACUUUAAACAACUGUUAGAACCUAAAUUUUCAAUUGGUAUGUUUGAGAUGCUGCUCUGAAUUCAGAAAUAAAAAGCACCAAGCCUCAAGAGGCUUUUUAUAUAAGUUAAAUUAAACAUUUAUUAAUUUAACAACAAAUUUAAACACGUACACCUGUCUACAAAUUACUACCAUAAUAACUUUUAAACAAAUCCCCAAAUUAAUCCCUCCCAAGUAAUCUCCCCCCAAGACAACAAUAACAUCAUAAUGUGACAUAUCUCAUAACAUUCAGGGCUAUGGGCCAAGUGCUAGUAAAUGGGUCAGGUGUUUCUCAUGUGUCGGUACAGACUCGAUGGGCCUAAGGGCCUCUUCUGUACUGUGUGAUUCUGAGAUAACCCAUAGGUUUAAACAGACACCAGGUAACGCACAUUUUAUCUUAUGAAUUCAAAAUGAGGUUCCUUUCAAUUUGCUUCCUUCACACAAUUGUCGGCUUACAGGUGGCAUCUCUCUAUCCCCCACACACAACUCUUUUCUGUAUAUGCCUAGCCUUCCCGUUGAGUGUAAAUUCUCAUUGUAUCACUAGGCCCUUUGAAUUCCAGCUCUUCUAACAAUAAAAUCCUUUUUAUA